rnacentral:rRNA from 1 species
AUUGAACGCUGGUGGCAGGCCUAACACAUGCAAGUCGAGCGAGCGGCGGACGGGUGAGUAAUGUAUGGGGACUGCCCGAUAGACGGGGAUAACUAAUGGAAACGGUAGCUAAUACCGCAUACUAUCGGAUAACCCAUAUGGGAUUAGCGAGUUGGUGAGGUAAUUGCUCACCUAGGCGACGAUCCCUAGCUGGUCUGAGCGGCUUAGCAGCCUCUAUGGUACUGAGACACGGCCCAGCAUCCUACGGAGGCAGCAGUGGGGAAUAUUGCACAAUGGGCGCAAGCCUGAUGCAGCCAUGCCGCGUGUAUGAAGAAGGCCCUAGGGUUGUAAAGUACUUUCAGUCGGGAGGCGUUACCGACAGAAGAAGCACCGGCUAACUCCGUGCCAGCAGCCGCGGUAAUUC